CCUACGGGUGACAGCAGUGAGGAAUAUUGGUCAAUGGGCGCGAGCCUGAACCAGCCAAGUAGCGUGAAGGAUGACUGCCCUACGGGUUGUAAACUUCUUUUAUAAAGGAAUACAGUGAGGCACGUGUGUCUUUUUGUAUGUACUUUAUGAUUACGGAUCGGCGAACCUCGCGCCAGCAGCCGCGGUAAUACGGUGGAUCCGAGCGUUAUCCGGACUUAUUGGGUUUAAAGGGUGCAUAGGGGGAUUUAUAAGUUAGAGGUGAAAUGUCCGGGCUUAACUCGGGAACUGCCUCUAAUACUAUUGAUCUAGAGAGAAGAAGCGGUAGGCGGAAUGUAAGGUGUAGCGGUGAAAUGCGUAGAGAUCAUACAGAACACCGAUUGCGAAGGCAGCUUACCGAUC
rnacentral:rRNA from 1 species